rnacentral:RNase_MRP_RNA from 2 species
GAGCGCGGGCGGGAUCGCUUUUCCAAGACGGAGACGAUCACCGGGCGAAAAUCCCCGGGCAAUGGGGCAGAAAGUGCCGGUCCUAGCGGACGGGACCUCCGGCCGGGCGCCCCCUCGCGGGGCUGCCGCGGAGCAGCUUGCCAUAGCACAGUCAUGUGACCAGCGCGGAAACAACGCGCCAACUCAACGGGGUCUACUCUCGGCGCU